rnacentral:rRNA from 1 species
UACGUAGGUGGCAAGCGUUGUCCGGAUUUACCGGGCGUAAAGGAUGCGUAGGCGGACAUUUAAGUCAGAUGUGAAAUACCCGAGCUUAACUUGGGUGCUGCAUUUGAAACUGGGUGUCUAGAGUGCAGGAGAGGUAAGUGGAAUUCCUAGUGUAGCGGUGAAAUGCGUAGAGAUUAGGAAGAACACCAGUGGCGAAGGCGACUUACUGGACUGUAACUGACGCUGAGGCAUGAAAGCGUGGGGAGCAAACAGG